rfam:Picea glauca, whole genome shotgun sequence.
UAGCCAAAAAUAUUGGUCGUAUAUUAUUAUUUCAAGGCUCUAAAUUUCCCAAAUAUUGGGAACAAAUGAGGAGAGAAGUGCAUAUCAAAUGUGCUCCUGAUGGUAUUGAAUAUUAUGAAACAAAAUUCCCAGACAAAUGGAAAAUAAAUGGGGAAGCAUGUGGUUCAAUUUGAUGCAAAGCGAAGAACCUUACCAAGGCUUGACAUGUCGUGAAUCCUCCCGAAAGAGAGGAGUUUCUUAGGGAACACGGACAAAGGUGGUGCAUGGUUGUUGUCAGCUCAUGCCGUAAGGUGUUGGAUUAAGUCCCGCAAUGAGCGUAACCCUCGUGUUUAGUUUCCAUCAUUGAGUUUGGAACCCUGAACAAACUGUCGUUGAUAAGACAGAUGAAGGUGAGGAUGACAUCAAUUCAUCAUUCCCCUUACACCUUGGGCGACACACAUGGUACAAUGGAUGAGGAAAAGGGUCGCGACCCCGUGAGGGAAAGAUAACCUCAAAAACCCUCCCUUAGUUCAGAUUGUAGGUUUCAACUCACCUGCAUGAAGUCAAAAUUGCUAGUAAUCACCGGUCAACCAUAUGGCGGUAAAUCCAUUCCUGGGCCUUCUACACACCGCCUGUUACACUAUGGGAGUUGGACAUUUCCCAAGUCCUUACCUUAAUCACAAGGAUGGGGAUGUCUAAGGUUGGGCUAGUGACUAGAGUGAAGUCAUAAAAAGGUAGCCGUACUGGAAGGUGUGCCUAGAUCACCUCCUUU